GUGUGUUCCCUGUGUUGCGUGGGGUGUUGCCAAGCCUUACCCCAACACAUAACACCUUCCCAGGCUCUCCUAACACUGCCCUUCACUCCCCUGACCCAACACAAAGACAGGAACAUUUUAAGGGUGUUUCUGAGGUGUUGUGUGUUCCCUGUGUUGCGUGGGGUGUUGCCAAGCCUCACCCCAACACAUAACACUUUCCCAGGCUCUCCUAACACUGCCCUUCACUCCCCUGACCCAACACAAAGACAGGAACAUUUUAAGGGUGUUUCUGUGGUGUUGUGUGUUCCCUGGGGUGUUGCCAAGCCUUACCCCAACACAUAACACCUUCCCAGGCUCUCCUAACACUGCCCUUCACUCCCCUGACUCAACACAAAGACAGGAACAUUUUAAGGGUGUUUCUGAGGUGUUGUGUGUUCCCUGUGUUGCGUGGGGUGUUGCCAAGCCUUACCCCAACACAUAACACCUUCCCAGGCUCUCCUAACACUGCCCUUCACUCCCCUGACCCAACACAAAGACAGGAACAUUUUAAGGGUGUUUCUGAGGUGUUGUGUGUUCCCUGUGUUGCGUGGGGUGUUGCCAAGGCUUACCGCAACACAUAACACCUAUGCUAGGCUACCAACACACUGCCAUUCACUCCCAUGACCCAACACAGAGACAGCAACAUUUAGAGGGUGCUUCUGAGGUGUUGUGUGUUCCCUGUGUUGCGUGGGGUGUUGCCAAGGCUUACCGCAACACAUAACACCUUGCUAGGCUACCAACACACUGCCCUUCAUUCCCCUGACCCAACACAAAGACAGGAACAUUUAGACAGUCUUGAGGGACCCUUGUUGGGAGUCGUCCUAUGUCCACGGUUGUCCCUGGCUUGUGAAACGACAGGAGGACACUUCAGGAUAGUACCAUUGUUGACGCUCGUGGGAAUGUGUUGAUACUGGCUUGCAAAAUUUGACACCCCUCCUUCUCACACACACACACACACACACACACACACACACACACACACACACACA